AUGAACGCUGGCGGCGUGCCUAAUACCUUCCAGUCGAGCGAACAGACGAGGAGCUUGCUCCUCUGACGUUAGCGGCGGACGGGUGAGUAACACGUGGAUAACCUACCUAUAAGACUGGGAUAACUUCGGGAAACCGGAGCUAAUACCGGAUAAUAUAUUGAACCGCAUGGUUCAAUAGUGAAAGACGGUUUUGCUGUCACUUAUAGAUGGAUCCGCGCCGCAUUAGCUAGUUGGUAAGGUAACGGCUUACCAAGGCAACGAUGCGUAGCCGACCUGAGAGGGUGAUCGGCCACACUGGAACUGAGACACGGUCCAGACUCCUACGGGAGGCAGCAGUAGGGAAUCUUCCGCAAUGGGCGAAAGCCUGACGGAGCAACGCCGCGUGAGUGAUGAAGGUCUUCGGAUCGUAAAACUCUGUUAUUAGGGAAGAACAAAUGUGUAAGUAACUAUGCACGUCUUGACGGUACCUAAUCAGAAAGCCACGGCUAACUACGUG
rnacentral:rRNA from 1 species